CCCCCCCCCCCGCGACUCCUCGCCGCCGCCGCCGCCGCCACCACCAUCACUCACGGCGGGUGGCAGACCUACGACCUCCUCUCGCUGUGCUCCAUCCUCUCAUCCCUCCAGAUUCGUUGCUAGAGGCCUCCCGUGCUCGCUACCGACCUUCAGCCGUGGCUAGGGUUUCGGGCGCGGCGUCCCCUUCGUCGCCGGCGAGGCUCUGGCGUCCUAGGGCGGCUCGUCCCCCCACGCCCUCGUGUGGUUGGUCAUGAGGUGCACGCAGUGCGUCGGGCCGUGCCUCCUUUGCACCAAUGUUAACUUCAGGAGCUGAAGUAAGAGAAAAUGAAGGAUGUUGCGCCAAUGCUGGUCUGGAGCACCACUCAGAGGCCUUGUUGUCGAGUGGGAGGAUCAGAAAGUAGUGGGAGGCGACGCCGAGUGGAUCAACGAUAGUUGUGCCGUGUUUGGUCCAGGAGCUGGCGGCAGGAAGCGAAGGUCAUCAAGGUCGCAGUCCACAGAUCCUCGUCCCUGUUGUGCCACCCCACAGAUGAUUUCCUCUUUGGUCGCCCCUCCUCACGGACGCUUCAGAGCGACAUCUCAGCACAGCAUUGAUUGAGGAGAGGAUCAUUGUCGUGCGCUCGAUGGCGGGAACAGAUCGAGGUCCUCAUUCGACCUUAAUUUCAAGCAGUAGCAUUUCAUCUAUUGCAGUCUGGAGCAAGUGAGCCUUCGCAAGAAACUGUACCUUCUGUUCAAGAUAGUGUCCUGCACCAGCAUCCAUCAGAAUUCUAUACCCGACAGUCAUGGUAUGAAGGAUCUCACGUUUAGCCGGCCUAUGGACAACCCUUUUGGUCAUCGCUACUACCUCGGCAAAGUCACACAGGACCCAGUGCUUCACACUGCCUCCAAAGCAUUCGAAGCAGGUGUCCGCGUACAUGGUAUAAUUGUCUCUGCACAUAUAUCAUCGUGCAUUCAAAUGAAGAACAAAGACGUCUAAAAGAUUCUGAAGCUUCAUUCUGGAGUUACAUGAAUCUGGGGCUGACUGAGGGAGAUCAAAAUGGUACUAGAUGGUAACAUUAGGCUGUAUGCCUGCAGUGAUGGUUAAUCAAGAUCGAUCAAAGGCCAUGUUCAGGUGUCGCUGCCGUGACUUGUUUGGCAUUAGUCUGAUAUCCGUUAGGCGGUGGUAACCUUCUUUUGAUGGUUGUCGGCACACAUCUUCAGUCACACGUACACCAUACGAGGUAUUGAAUAACCUAUCCUCUCAUUUUUAUUGUCAUUGCCAUAACUUUUACAGGCUUCUCAUCAAAGUUCUUGCCUCUGAGCCCACUCUCUGCCAUGAUGUGCUGAUCUGCUCAUUUUACAUUAUGUGUUUGUUUGUCUGUUUGUGUGAACUUUCAGUUUUCCAGAAGUUUUUGUUUUAGCAUGCCACUUCUAGCUUUGUAUAUACUAUAAGCUAAACUCAGGUAGAAGUAGUAUUUUCCAAUUUUCAAUUUGCUUUUCAAUUAUUUAUUUAUUUUAGGAGGGGCGUUAGUUCAUUGAUUUAAUAAAUUUUUUUAGCAGUCCAAACAGCAGGAGAGGUUCCCACUGCUAUAUUUUAAAUUUUUGAGAAAUAAUUACAUACUGUCUGUAUGCCCACCAAUUGGUGGCAGAAAGGGUCUUUUUUUGCGAAAGGGCAGAAAGGGUUUUGCAAAUAAAACAAGGCCAAGUAUAAAAAUUAUACAAGGGUCUGGCCAUGAACUUUAGAAUCCCUAGGUCUGAAGUUAGUCCUCUCUUCCAACUGAGCAAUAUGCAGAGCCUCUAGUACGCGCAUCCAUGCUCUGUCGCCGCCACCUGCUACUUCAAGUCCGCCAACAGCCUCGCCGGAAACUGGGGCUUAUCCAUAGCCCAACUCAAUCUCUGCGUCGCUCUCCUCACCUGUAUACAUGCAUCUCGUUCAUCUGUUCGUUGUACAACUUGUAGUGGAUUUUAGGUGUACAACCAUAUUAUUGUGGAUUUUAGGAAUUCACAGAAAAAAAUGCUUAUCUGAAUUCAGGUGUACAACCAUACUGUUGUGGAUUUUAGGUUGGAUGCUCACAUAAGAGGUGAUCUGAUUUUGUUAUCGCUCGUCUCUCUUUGUAGAUUUUUGCUCAUGCUGGGAUGUGUCCACGUGUUGAUUUUUGUUCAUGUGUGGAAGCUGGACUGUGUCUAUAUGUACAUUUUUCUCAUGUGUAGCUUGUCAUUUACCCAAAUUAUUGUUCUUCCAUUCGGGCAAGCUUUAGUUGCAGAUCCACGCUUAAAAUUUUAUUGUGCAGAUGCAUCUUUGCAUGCUUGUUCUGCUUGAGCCCGCCGCCUCGCCGUGAAGCCCUCUGCUGCAGCCUCUCACUUCACUAUCGACGACACUCUGCUCCAACCCGUCUCUGUCCAGUACCGGACAAACCUGUUGUAAAGAUGUGCUUAUAGUUUCUCAUGCCCUCAACUACUAUUUUAGCUUUAGUAUGCUAUGGGUAUACACAUAGCCACUACAAUGGUCAGUACCAAGGAUUACAACAUAUGGGUCCACUUGUUGCAGGCAGUGUCCUCCUGUUGGCGAAGUUCCAAGGUGGAUGUGCAACGCCAUGACCAAGAUCUUCAAAUGUCCAAUGUUUCAUAGAUCAUGGCACAUGUCUCUUUUCUGUUAAAUAAAUAGUGACUUUCUCCUUCUUUUCCUUAGAUAAAUUUUUCAUUGAGGAGAUCAUAUUCCUUUGUUUGUUGUCCAAUAUAAACGACAUAGAGUUGGUUUUACCAUGAUUAAAUUUCUUGUUGGAAUGUCAAGGAUCAAUUACGGAUGUUUGUUAAGAACCGUUUGAAUGAACACCAGGCUCGACCUCAAUAAGUGCGCAAUCUGCUUCUCGGUCGGUCCCCUUUCCCUGAGUUUCUUC